rnacentral:rRNA from 1 species
UACAGAGGUCUCAAGCGUUGUUCGGAUUCAUUGGGCGUAAAGGGUGUGUAGGUGGCGCGGUAAGUCGGGUGUGAAAUUUCGGAGCUUAACUCCGAAACUGCAUUCGAUACUGCGGUGCUUGAGGACUGGAGAGGAGACUGGAAUUCAUGGUGUAGCAGUGAAAUGCGUAGAGAUCAUGAGGAAGACCAGUGGCGAAGGCGGGUCUCUGGACAGUUCCUGACACUGAGACACGAAGGCCAGGGGAGCAAACGGG